GAAAGGAUGUGAUCUUGUACAAUGUUUAUCGAGAUCAUAGUAUCCCAGUGGCAAAAGCAACCAUUCUAUCAAUUGAUCGUAGAAAGGUGGUAGGUGGUCAGGAGCUUGGCUCUAAAUAUUGUGAGGUUGCCGUGAACUAUGUAAUAAAAAGGGAUGCUAUACUACCUCGUGGUGUUUGGAACAUGACCACCAUGGGGCAAGUUCAAGGGCGAUGUAUCGCAUGGCCAUACAAGCAUUUGGAAGUGGACAAGUCUAUGGAAAAAGCAGGAAUGCGACCACAAGCAGGCUGAGGAGGUUUCCCAAAGGUACACAAGUCAAAUGAAGGUUUGGAAGAUUUUCAAGCUCCUGAAGAUUUGGAAGACCUACAAUAGUUGGUGGAGUGUUUAUGUAAUAUGCUUGUUUACUUUGUGAAACCUGGACACACUUGCUCCACUCAUUUUGCUGGUUGUUAAGCCGUUCUGCUCAUUUUGGUUGUGUGGCACACCCAGAAACAUGUACUUCUCCAUUUGUCGCACUAUUUACUUUUGUUGGUUCUGUGGCACAUUU